rnacentral:rRNA from 1 species
GACGAACGCUGGCGGCGUGCUUAACACAUGCAAGUCGAACGGAAAGGCCCUGCUUUUGUGGGGUGCUCGAGUGGCGAACGGGUGAGUAACACGUGAGUAACCUGCCCUUGACUUUGGGAUAACUUCGGGAAACUGGGGCUAAUACCGGAUAGGAGCUCCUGCUGCAUGGUGGGGGUUGGAAAGUUUCGGCGGUUGGGGAUGGACUCGCGGCUUAUCAGCUUGUUGGUGGGGUAGUGGCUUACCAAGGCUUUGACGGGUAGCCGGCCUGAGAGGGUGACCGGCCACAUUGGGACUGAGAUACGGCCCAGACUCCUACGGGAGGCAGCAGUGGGGAAUAUUGCACAAUGGGCGGAAGCCUGAUGCAGCAACGCCGCGUGCGGGAUGACGGCCUUCGGGUUGUAAACCGCCUUCGCCUGUGACGAAGCGUGAGUGACGGUAAUGGGUAAAGAAGCACCGGCUAACUACGUG